rnacentral:rRNA from 1 species
UUAGGAAUAUUGGACAAUGGGCGCAAGCCUGAUCCAGCCAUGCCGCGUGAGUGAUGAAGGCCUUCGGGUUGUAAAACUCUUUAGCCGAUGAUUAUAAUGACUGUAGUCGGAAAAUAAGCCCCGGCUAACUUCGUGCCAGCAGCCGCGGUAAUACGAAGGGGGCGAGCGUUAUUCGGAAUCACUGGGCGUAAAGCGUGCGUAGGCGGUUUAGUAAGUUAGGAGUGAAAAGCCCAGGGCUUAACCUUGGAAUUGCUCUUAAAACUACUAGACUUGGAUCUCGGAGAGGAUAGCGGAAUUUCCAGUGUAGCAGUGAAAUGCGUAGAUAUUGGAAGGAACACCAGUGGCGUAAGCGGCUAUCUGGACGAGUAUUGACGCUGAGGCACGAAAAGCGUGGGGAUCAAACAGGAUUAGAUACCCUGGUAGUCCACGCCGUAAACGAUGUGUGCUUGUCGCUGGGGAGUUCACUCUUCGGUGACGCAGCUAACGCGUUAAGCACACCGCCUGGGGAAAGUACGGCCGCAAGGUUAAAAACUCAAAAGGAAUUGACGGGGUCAUAGCUGUUUCCUG